CCGCUGUGUGGCAGGCUCUGACUUUGCUGGAAGAGGGAUUGACCCACAGCCCUUCUAAUGCUCAAUUCAAAUUGCUGCUUGUUCGCAUCUACUGUAUGCUGGGUGCAUUUGAACCAGUAGUGGAUCUUUACUCCAGCCUUGAUGCUAAGCAUAUCCAGCACGAUACCAUUGGUUAUCUUUUGACCCGAUAUGCGGAAUCUCUAGGUCAGUAUGCUGCUGCAUCCCAGUCCUGUAACUUCGCACUCAGGUUUUUCCACUCCAACCAGAAAGAUACCUCAGAAUAUAUUAUUCAAGCUUACAAAUAUGGUGCGUUUGAGAAGAUCCCAGAAUUUAUCGCUUUUAGGAACAGGCUGAAUAAUUCUCUUCAUUUUGCACAAGUCCGUACUGAACGGAUGCUUUUAGACCUUCUACUUGAAGC